UUCAACGGGUAUUUACUGAGCG
rnacentral:miRNA from 1 species